GGGGUAUAAUCUUUGCGGGGGUGGGGUGGGUAGGGGCGUGCCCAUGGCACGCAAAUUCCCACACCAGGGAUUGAACCCAAACCACAGCAGUGACAACGCUGAAUCCUUCACCACUAGGCCACCAGGGACCUCUCAUAGAUUAAUUUUUAUAUGCAGAAGUUCAUGUAAGAAAUGAGCAAGAUGAAAUUGAUAGCAAAAUGACAUAAGCAUUAACGCUCCAAAUCUUUUUUUUUUUUUGGUAAUUAAAAAUUCUUUAAUUUUUUGCUUUUGGGGGCUGCACUUGUGGCAUAUGGAAGUUCCCGGGCUAGGGGUCUAAUCAGAGCUGCAGCUGCCAGCCUAUGCCACAGCCACGCCAGAUCCGAGCCACGUCUGCGACCUAUACCACAGCUCACGGCAGCACCAGAUCCUUAACCCACUGAGUGAGGCCGGGUACCAAAUCUGUAUCCUCAUGGAUGUUAGUUGGGUUCGUUACUGCUGAGCUACAAGAGGAGCUCCAAAUGCUCCAAAUCUUCUAUCAUCUCCGCCACUCUUGAUAGUGGAAACUCCACUUUUUGCAUAAUUUCAAGAUCUCCCUGGCACAGCCUCUCGUAUGGUUUUUAUCCAGCUACUUCAAUAGUUGAAACUGGAAGGCAGUACUCUGGCCAGCACCCUGAUCUGUGUUUUGAUUCUUAUUCCAUCCUUCUGCCUUUGGGGGAAAAUCCAGGAAUUUUGUCUGACAGCGUGAUAUGACGACUAGGACACUAGCAAUGCAAGAAUGUUCCAUCAAGGAGGAAGUGGUCCCCAGCAGGGUACUGGUCUCUGCGGGGCUGUUUGCAGAACUGAGAGACGCAGAGUCAGUAGUGAGUCGAAUGCAGAGAAGAGCAGCAUCUGAGCGGUGGUGAAGCCAGUGAGAAAGUCACACAGCAGCACAGAAGCGUAAUAAAUGGCUCGGAGGAGAGGAGCCCCAGGAAGCUAAUACACAGCCGCCAGGUUCUUGCCUGGAAGCCACCCAAUGCAGUAAGAGACCCACUCAUCCACAGAAGUAGAUUUCGAAGGAUCAUCUGCCCUGCAGCUGUCAAAGAACUGAACUGGAGGUGGAGUCAGCCUCGAGGCCUUCCUCAGAAGGGGUUGGAGGGCUUGCCGUCCUGCAGAGUCAUGUCCUCAGGGAGGUCCUCUCUUCAUUCCAGUUUCUGGGGCUGGAUGCCGGCGUCUUCCAGCACCGGCCACAGAGCGUCGUGCACCUGA
rnacentral:lncRNA from 1 species